CCCGACUGCCCGACGGACGAUUAUCGGGGACCACGGAAUAAACAACAUCAACAUCAUGAGCAGGUUAUAUUGUCCGCAGGACACUAACUGGACCUGCACCUUGUUAUCUUAAUUCCAUGACCCAGCUCUACGUCCCCCCUCGCUCACUAAUGGUCCUCUGAUGAGCGUCU